rnacentral:rRNA from 1 species
AAGUACCCCGAGGAAAAGAAAUCAACCGAGAUUCCGAAAGUAGCGGCGAGCGAAAUUGGACUAGCCCUUAAGCUUUACACGCGUUAGACGAACGGUCUGGAAAGUCCGACGAUACAGGGUGAUAGUCCCGUAGUUGACGACGUGUGUUCAGUGAAAUCGAGUAGGGCGGGACACGUGAUAUCCUGUCUGAAUAUGGGGGGACCAUCCUCCAAGGCUAAAUACUACUGACUGACCGAUAG